rfam:Gilliamella apicola SCGC AB-598-I20 SCG598I20_11799, whole genome shotgun sequence.
CUUCUUCGGCUUGUUGUGGGCAUAUGAAAUGGAUAUGAGAGUCAAUUCCGCCUGCUGUAACAAUGCUAUUUUCGCCAGCAAUAAUUUCAGUGCUAGCGCCAAUAGCGAUGGUUAUAUCUGGUUGUAUAUCAGGAUUUCCCGCUUUACCAAUAGCCAAAAUACGUCCAUUUUUAAUGCCAAUAUCAGCUUUAACAAUUCCCCAAUGAUCAAUGAUUAAAGCAUUGGUUAUUACAACAUCCGCAACCAAAUCUGCACAUAAUUGACUUUGUCCCAUACCAUCACGAAU